UAAUUCGAAGCAACGCGAAGAACCUUACCAGGUCUUGACAUCCUCUUGACCUCCCUAGAGAUAGGGAUUUCCCUUCGGGGACAGGAGUGACAGGUGGUGCAUGGUUGUCGUCAGCUCGUGUCGUGAGAUGUUGGGUUAAGUCCCGCAACGAGCGCAACCCUUGACCUUAGUUGCCAGCAUUCAGUUGGGCACUCUAAGGUGACUGCCGGUGACAAACCGGAGGAAGGUGGGGAUGACGUCAAAUCAUCAUGCCCCUUAUGACCUGGGCUACACACGUGCUACAAUGGAUGGUACAAAGGGCUGCAAGACCGCGAGGUUUAGCCAAUCCCAUAAAACCAUUCUCAGUUCGGAUUGUAGGCUGCAACUCGCCUACAUGAAGCCGGAAUCGCUAGUAAUCGCGGAUCAGCAUGCCGCGGUGAAUACGUUCCCGGGCCUUGUACACACCGCCCGU
rnacentral:rRNA from 1 species